CACGUAGGGCGCGAGCGUUGUCCGGAAUUAUUGGGCGUAAAGAGCUCGUAGGCGGCCUGUUGCGUCCGCUGUGAAAGCCCGGGGCUUAACCCCGGGUCUGCAGUGGAUACGGGCAGGCUAGAGGUAGGUAGGGGAGAGCGGAACUCCUGGUGUAGCGGUGGAAUGCGCAGAUAUCAGGAAGAACACCGGUGGCGAAGGCGGCUCUCUGGGCCUUACCUGACGCUGAGGAGCGAAAGCGUGGGUAGCGAACAGG
rnacentral:rRNA from 1 species